rnacentral:rRNA from 1 species
AACGUACGCUGGCGGCACGCCUAACACAUGCAAGUCGAACGAAGUAGCAAUACUUAGUGGCAGACGGGUGAGUAACAUGUAGGUAUCUGCCCUUUGGCCUGGAAUAACACGAGGAAACUUGUGCUAAUACCGGAUAAGUCUUUACGGAGAAAGCUUUAUGCACCAUUGGAUGAGCCUGCACUUGAUUAGUUUGUUGGUGGGGUAAUGGCCUACCAAGACUGUGAUCAAUAGCUGAUUUGAGAGGAUGAUCAGCCACAUUGGGACUGAGACACGGCCCAAACUCCUACGGGAGGCAGCAGUGGGGAAUCUUGCACAAUGGAGGAAACUCUGAUGCAGCGAUGCCGCGUGAGUGAAGAAGGCCCUUGGGUUGUAAAGCUCUUUCGUCGGGGAAGAAAAUGACUGUACCCGAAUAAGAAGGUCCGGCUAACUUCGUGCCAGCAGCCGCGGUAAUACGAAGGGACCUAGCGUAGUUCGGAAUUACUGGGCUUAAAGAGUUCGUAGGUGGUUGAAAAAGUUAGUGGUGAAAUCCCAGAGCUUAACUCUGGAACUGCCAUUAAAACUUUUCAGCUAGAGUAUGAUAGAGGAAAGCAGAAUUUCUAGUGUAGAGGUGAAAUUCGUAGAUAUUAGAAAGAAUACCAAUUGCGAAGGCAGCUUUCUGGAUCAUUACUGACACUGAGGAACGAAAGCAUGGGUAGCGAAGAGGAUUAGAUACCCUCGUAGUCCAUGCCGUAAACGAUGUGUGUUGGACGUUGGAAAUUUAUUUUCAGUGUCGCAGGGAAACCGAUAAACACACCGCCUGGGGAGUACGACCGCAAGGUUAAAACUCAAAUGAAUUGACGGGGACCCGCACAAGUAGUGGAGCAUGUGGUUUAAUUCGAAGAUACGCGCAGAACCUUACCAACACUUGACAUGUUCGUCGCGACUCUAAGAGAUUAGAGUUUUCGGUUCGGCCGGACGAAACACAGGUGCUGCAUGGCUGUCGUCAGCUCGUGUCGUGAGAUGUUGGGUUAAGUCCCGCAACGAGCGCAACCCUCACUUUUAGUUGCCAUCAUUAAGUUGGGCACUCUGAAAGAACUGCCAGUGAUAAGCUGGAGGAAGGUGGGGAUGACGUCAAGUCCUCAUGGCCCUUACGUGUUGGGCUACACACGUGCUACAAUGGUAUCUACAACAGGAAGCAAGACUGCGAAGUUAAGCAAAUCCCUAAAAGAUACCUCAGUUCGGAUUGCACUCUGCAACUCGAGUGCAUGAAGCUGGAAUUACUAGUAAUCGUGGAUCAGCGUGCCACGGUGAAUGCGUUCCCGGGUCU